rnacentral:rRNA from 1 species
UACAGAGGUCUCAAGCGUUGUUCGGAUUCAUUGGGCGUAAAGGGCGCGUAGGCGGCGGGGUCAGUCGGGUGUGAAAUCUUGGGGCUUAACCCCGAAACGGCACUCGAAACUGCCCGGCUGGAGGGCCGGAGAGGAGAUCGGAAUUCACGGUGUAGCAGUGAAAUGCGUAGAGAUCGUGAGGAAGACCCGUGGCGAAGGCGGAUCUCUGGGCCUUACCUGACGCUGAGGAGCGAAAGCGUGGGGAGCGAACAGG